GUAUAAGGGGGUUAGGCUGUUCACAUUUUAGUAGUAUCCAAGCAAUUAGCUCAAAAAAAACAAAAAAAAAGUAAACCCAUCAUAUGCCUAAUAAAAAAUUGAUGUUAGUAAAAGAGAUUCACACUAAUUUCACACCCAUUCAUUAUAGAGAGAGAAACCGCCCCAUUCAUAUUCAGCAACAUAAACCCAUUCUUUCAAUUAAUGAAACAAGCAUUUAAGCCCUUUAGCCUUUCACUUAUGGAACGGUGCAGAUACUCCCAUUUCUCUCACACGUGCUUAUCUUCAGGUAGCCAUAAGCCAUGGCAGGUUGUACUCAAAGGUAAUAUCUUUGCAUGGAAAAAUACAUGUUGGUUGCUGAUACUAUUUUGAGAUCAAGUAAAUAAUUGGUUCAAGCUUGCAUGUUUAGAUUAAUGACAUUGGGAUUGUUUGAUGCACAUCAUUGCUGUAUUUGAAGUACCAAUUGGAUGGUUUUUUGUAAUUUUUUCUUCUUUUUUCAAAAGUAAAGUUUUCAAUUUUAUAGAUCUACAUUAUUGGGACAAAAUCGUGUAAAUCUUCUAACAAUGGUAGGUACCAAUUUUAAUUAUGGCAAUGGAUAGGUACCAAUUAUCAGAUAACUUUGGAGCUAAAUAGAGAUGAUGCAUCUAUCUUCCACAAGGAUUUUUUUUUUUU